UUGUGCAUCUACGCCAGAAGACAGAGUGCUAUUUUUUAUUCCAUGCUCCAAAUAUUUCAUGUCCGAUUCAUAGACAUCCUUGAAUUGCUUAACGAUGAUGGCAUGUUUGGUGUUCAUAUUUUUGUCAGCCAAAUAAUAAUAGGUGCACUUGAUUGUUUGAGGAAAUGCCAACUGAAAGCUAAAUUUAGUUAGAAUUAGAUUUUUGCACGUGUGUUCUUGAUGCUUCAUGUACGACCAGUUCUCUCGAAUAAUGAGUUACUCCCUCAAUUUUACAAUAGAGAUAAUUUGUCAAAAUUGUGUUUUUGUGAACAUGCAUAGGGCCUCUCAGUCUUUAACCCUGACUAUAAAAAUCCAUUGAUGGAAGCUGGGGAGGGCCGAGAUGAACAUUCGGCUCCCUGGGUCUAAGCCAUCGAGAUGGUAGAGACGACAUUUCCAU
rnacentral:lncRNA from 1 species